GACGUAGGGCGCGAGCGUUGUCCGGAUUUAUUGGGCGUAAAGAGCUCGUAGGCGGCUUGUUGCGUCGGCUGUGAAAACUCGGGGCUUAACCCCGAGCCUGCUUCUGAUACGGGCAGACUAGAGGUAUGCAGGGGAGAACGGAAUUCCUGGUGUAGCGGUGAAAUGCGCAGAUAUCAGGAGGAACACCGGUGGCGAAGGCGGUUCUCUGGGCCGUAACUGACGCUGAGGAGCGAAAGCUAGGGGAGCGAAUGGG
rnacentral:rRNA from 1 species